GCCCAGAUGCGCUCGCAGGCCACAAAAAAUAUCCCCCAGUCCUCCACCGAUCACGUGCAAAGCACGUGCCAGAUGGUAGUACCGUCGCGGUGGGUUGUGCGCGGCCACCGCCGGCCACAUCUCCGCUACUAGAAUCGCCUUCUUGCCUUCAGCCUCCGGUCCGCGUAAAAAGAACCCGGGAUCAAUCGAGUUUCUGGUUGGUACCACAGCUUGUUCUAAUCCAAAACCCGAAUGUAAUUGCUGUACGUCUGCCUGGUUGUAUGAAGGGUUAAAAAUGGUAUUACCACUGCAACAAUCAGAUGGUUCAUCAGAUCGGCUCUUUCUUCUUUUCCAGCUUGCAAGCCAACCCAACUUCCCCUUAGGUGCUGCUUCCGUUAGUUGGUGAGGAUGCUGUAUCACCUUAAAGAGAAGUAAUGUCAAUUAUGUGCAAGUCCUAUUUCUCCGCAGGGCUAUUAUUUCGGUGUCCUACUAUUCAUUUCCGAGCAUGGCAGUAGCACUUGGCUUAGCCCCUGCAAAGCUGAUCAGCAUCAUUCUGUAUAAAAUUCUAGGCCCAUUUAUUCUAGCUUGUUGAUCUUAAUCUUUCAGUGUGCAUAGACUGUAGCAUUUUGGGUAUGUAUGUUUUUGCCGGGAUCCAUAUAUAUGAGCAGAGCGUUGGAGUUUCUUACCCUGUGA